GCAGCCACCGCCCCGCAUCGGAAGGAGGGCGCGUCGCCGCCGCCCUGUGGGCCUGAGGCCAGCCACAGUCCGGGCAACCUCCCCUGGCCUGCUCCACCUCUCUGGGCAGAAGCAUGGAUGUACUGGAGGCCGCCCGGUCCAGGAGAGACCCUACCACCAUUCCCCCCAGCCCACAGUAUCAUCCCAGCUUACAAGUUUGCCUGGCCUGUGGGGAUGGACCACGCGGAUGAUCUCCCCUGUUGGUAUCAGUUCUACUUGAAGUGCCAUUCCGCUGUGUGGAGCCAGCCUGCAGGACGCAGAAACUGCCCAGCGUGCCACUGGCUCACACUGGGAUGGCCAGUUGGUUCUGCUUCAACUCCAGCCCCAGGGGAUGUGGCUGGUCCAGCUUCUCAGGACACAGCUGGAGCAGUCCAGGUAACCAGAGGAGCUGAUGCAUCCACCCAUGAGGGACCCUGGGUUCCAGGUCAAAGGUUAGGAGACAACCCCCGCCCCCAACUCCUUUCCCAGCAAGUCCUUGGCAGGGCCUCUCAAGCUGCCCUCUCAGAUCAGCUCGAGUGCGGAAUAACCAUUCCUCUAACCAGAGGCACAGCUUUCCACAAAGCCGAGAGGAUCCUUUAUGUGGCAUUGCUCCUCAAGUCCCUUCAGCUUGGCCGCCUCUGAAGGUAGUGAGCCUUACCCUCCUUUCUCUUUCUUUUCUUUCUUUUUUUUUUUUUAAGAGUUUGAAUGUUGUCUAGGCUAGUCUUGAACUCCUGGACUCGAGAUCCUCCUGCUUCAUCUGAGUGUUGGGAGGACAGGCAUGUGCUGAUUACUUGUUUGUUUUCGAGACAGGGUUUCUCUGUGUUGCCCUGGCUGACCUGGCACUCACCCUGUCGACCAGGCUGGCCUCGAACUCAAGAGAUCCAACUGUUCUCUGCCUCCCAAGUGCUGGGAUUAAAAGUGUGAGCCACCACUUGACUACACCUUGUUUUAGAGGCCGGGGCUGGUCCUGCUAGGCAGAAGGUGGUAUUAGAAACAGCAAGAGGCUCUGCCCAUCUCACUGCUGGAGCCUCAAGGUAAGUUCCUGGGUCCCUUGGGUGUGUACCCCCUGUUUAUUUUCAACUGUACUCGCCCCCCCCCCCAUACACACACAGUGUUCCUGUUUUUCUGUCUUCAUUGUUGCUAAAUCACAGCUGACAUUUUCCUGGCCUGGGAUUGAGCUCUGGGUCUCCAGCCAUUCCUUAUAGGAAAUGAGAAUGGGGAAGUCAGGGGGAAACAGACUUUUCCAGGAGAGGCUGGCAUGGGAGGGGCGGAGGACCCCUGGGACUAUGCUGACACUGAUGAUCGGGCACCUUCCUUUUCUCCCUCAGCUUCCCCCGCCCAGGAAAGGCCUAUAAAGCUUCCUUCCUCUGGGAAGCACAUCUAUCCAGGGCAGGCUCAUCCCAGUGGCCACACAAUGGCUCUUAUCAGUCGCGGAGCCAGGCAGAGACCCAGCACACACCAAGUCUCACAUAUUUCCUGUUUCCACCCAACGGGUCAGGGGUGGGCCCAGAACAGCCAUAUCCUGCCUAGGACCUGAGAGGGAGCAAUCCCCUUCCUUUUUCCGCCUUUCAAUCACAGCUGAACUCGCCCUUCUCAGUUGAGGAGGGACCUGCACCGGGACAUUAGGACAGUGUUUCUAAGUGUUGGAGGGGUGGAGGUGAGCUUGUGGAGGCGGGUUGGGACCCCUGGGCCCUAGAGCCAGCCCCAGGGCUUCAUGAGUCAGAAGAGCGGUGCUAUCAGCACUAGUGGUGUUUUUGAAGGGUUUUGGCAAUGGUUCUCUCAGUGACUUGUCAACAGGCAUAUCAUUUAUAUUUUCUAGAUAACCGAGACUCCUGUGGGUAAGAGAGAGUAGGAUGGAUCACAGAUGCAGGUCCAGUCUCUAGGCCCCAUGCCUAUAUUCUGGUCAUGUCCCCCAUCAAAGGAGUCACAUACAAGUGUAAAAGCCACAUUUAUAAUUAUCCCUCAAUGUAACAACUCACACAGAACAGACAGCUAUGGCUCACUAGAAGCCUGGGGGUGG